rnacentral:tRNA from 2 species
UGGACGGUAGCCAAGCGGUAAGGCACCAGACUUUGAAUCUGGCAUUCCACUGGUUCGAUCCCAGUUCGUCCAG